rnacentral:rRNA from 1 species
UGAUUAAAGUUGUUGCGGUUAAAAAGCUCGUAGUCGAAUUUGUGUCCCGCGCCGCCGGUUCAUCGUCCGCGGUGUUAACUGGCGUGCCGCGGGACGUCCUGCCGGUGGACCUAAGCUCGCAAGGGCGUCGGUCCGACCCAAUCCUGCCGCGGUGCUCUUCAUUGAGUGUCGAGGUGGGCCGGCACGUUUACUUUGAACAAAUUAGAGUGCUUAAAGCAGGCUAAAACUUCGCCUGAAUACUGUGUGCAUGGAAUAAUGGAAUAGGACCUCGGUUCUAUUUUGUUGGUUUUCGGAACCCCGAGGUAAUGAUUAAUAGGAACGGAUGGGGGCAUUCGUAUUGCGACGUUAGAGGUGAAAUUCUUGGAUCGUCGCAAGACGAACAGAAGCGAAAGCAUUUGCCAAAGAAA